UAAAAAAAAACAAAAAUACACAAAGAAAUUUCAAACCUCCCUUGGGUUGCCUCCCAAGCAGCGCUUCGUUUAACGUCGCAUGGCUCGACGGGACACCUCAUACUCAGAUGAGUUUAACAGUUUCAAUUGGUCCCCCUUCACCGGGAUCAUAUGGUUUCAACCUCUGACCAUUAACCUUGAAGGUGUCGCCAUUCUUCUCAUUUAAAACACCAAUACCACUUUUAUGUUUC
rnacentral:lncRNA from 1 species